AGCUGCGGGGAAACCUGGAAACGAGGGGCUGGGCGGGCCUGGGUCGCUGUGUGCUCCCUGAGGAUCGUCCACACGGUGGUGGAGCGUCGGUAAAGACAGUGAGCGUGGGGAGUGGACUGUGAAACGUGAGAGUCGAGGGGGACGCUGGGUCCAGUCACUUUUACCAGAAGUCGCUUGGAGGGGGUCUUCUAGGCCUUCUCCCAACGUCCAAGGGGUCUACAGAUGAAGAAACGUGUCGGGUGUGAGCUGCCUGCCGCCUUGAACCUGAAGCCAGCAACAGUGCUGAACAAUGUUCUCUUGUGUGAACAGAACCACUUUAUUCAUCCUACUAUUGAUGGCCAUGAUAUAAUUUGGGAUUUUUUUCAGAGAAGAUGCCUGUGGAGAAGAGCACCCCUCUCUCGUCUCUCUCCUACCACUUCCCCUGUCCCAUCCGUCUCCAUUUUGGGGAGCAAACAUUGUUGCUGAAACAACUAAAUUAAGGUAAAACAACUUCCUAGGUCCCCUGGUUCUUUCUUCCCUCACCUUUUUCCACGUGCCUUCCUUUCUCUGUGCUCUGUUCAAAUACCUCUUCUUGCAAUGGCUGGACAUGGACCUAGGAUGUGAACUCAAAAAGAAUGGAAUCAUUUCAUUUGCAUAUUUCCAUAAUUUCACCAUCACCAUGAUGGAUGGGAGUGGUGGAGGGGUUUUAGACGUCAAAUUUGCAGGUAGGCUAUAU